GCACAGCGCCUCAUGUGUCAGACAGUCUCUUCGUUCCUUUCGAUAUAUUUGUACAUAUUAUAAUAAAGUCUCCCUUUCUUUUAUAAACUUUGCAAUCCGUUAAUCUCUCAAAAUUAUUCGUUAUAUAAACUAUAAAUAAUUUAACAGGUUAUGGAUCCAACCAUCCUGACAAUGCGCAAAAUAGUCUGGGAAUAAGAAUCGUGAAAUUUCCGAAAGAGGAGAACCUUCGUUAUCCGUGACACACACGUGCUGAAAUCGUCAUAGUUGAUCAGUUCGUCUACGUAAGAUUUCUCAUUUGUUCAGUGAUUCGAUAUUCAGUAUAUUAGUUUCACAGUGAAGCGCAUAUGAAUAAUUCCACGGAACGAAUUUCCGCCUUGGGAAAUUCCAGGUGAAUACCGUCUUCAUAGCGAACGGCGUAAAAGAGAUUGUCGACGGUAUAAAGACUGAGUCCAGUGAAUGAUGUAAAAUGUAGCCAAGAGACGAGCUGCAUAGCCAAUGAAUAAUGCAAAAGUCAUGUGUAUUAUUUGUAUCACGAUUGAAUAUUCUCAACUAAAGCAUUUAGUCAUUUGCAAUACAUUUACAUACUGCUGAAAUACGAAUGAAAUUAAGCAGUAUACACGAGCAGAAACCGCUUCUAAUAGGUUAGUUCUCAUGCAAAAGUUCCAGGAAUAGCGAAUGGAUCAUAACGCAUCAAUUUCCCAACACAUGGCUAGAAUCGAGAACGUGGCUCGUCAGAUGAAUAUUCCUUCUGAGCAACAAACGUGAUUAUCAAAGUUUGUCAAAGUUUUCUCAAGGAAGUGUCGCGCAUGCUCGUUGCCGAUGAUGUCAUAAGACCUCUUGCUGUCAUGAGUGUAAAACACAAACCGUCCAUGAAGAGUAUCGAGAAAUCGAAACGUGACGAAACAAAGAGACAAGAUACGAAGGAAACUAAAUGCUUUUAUUGUUAGAAAAAAGGAUAUUCUAUUAAGGACUCCCGGAAGAAAUUAAACCCGUAUGAAAAUCAAAUGGAUAUAUCCGAAAAUGUGAGUGCGUUUAUUGCCUAUAUAGAAAAGAAAGGAAGAAAUAGAAAACCAGCAUCAGCAUAGUAAUCCCAAAAUGUCCGUUUUCUGUGCGGUUUUAAGUGAAGAAAAAGAGUGCUUGUCAGAGAUACAUAUGCAUGUGUAAGGUUCACGACAGUGGCGCUUCGAGACACGUCACGUUCAGAGGCAUAUAAAAAAAGGCAAAAUGCUUUUUUCAGAAAGCGGGAAUUUACUAUUUAAAACCUUUUCGUCGGUUAUGCGAUAUGAUUCUAUGUGCGUCCUUCUUACAAUAGUUACCAAAAGGUAGCUCAAGAUUCGGUAGUGCAACGCGAAUACAGCUUUUUUGAAAGGACAGCAUACAGAGAACAUUUAUUUGAAAGUGCCUGAAAGAGUGAACUCGAAUAAGAAAAAUGUAGUUCAUGUAGAAAUGUAAUUUAAAUAACACAUAUUUAUUCUGAUAUAAUUACAACUCAUUAUAAAUGAGUCAGAUGAGAUUCGAAAGAAUGAGGUGUUCUUUCUCCUUCGAUUCGUUAUCAGCCAAGAGGACUCGCUUGAAUGUUUAUAUCUUCGACUCUCGGAAAUCGGUCCUGCUCAGCUGCCAUCAUCAUCAGUAAUCCAUUCAGCUCGAUUGAGUAUGGUAAAUGGUCGGGAUGUUGCAACUUUAUGACUUUCCGGUCUACAAAUGGUUUUUUUAAAUCUGUGGCCAUAGGGUGGAUUCAUGACAGCUUCACGACGAAACGUCGGUUUUACAAGCGCUUGACGGACCACGCGAUUUUGUGAGGCGGAUAAUACCAGGGCGGGCUGUUUCGCAGAGCGUGCGACGCUAUUAAGAGAGGUCGUUCGUUUGAUGUCCUCGAAGUGGUGGACUGCGCGCACGAGCAUCCGCGGAUCAGCCGGAACAACGAAAAUUACGAUUGGCCAAGAGAGUCGGUUUAGCAAGUUAAAACAUGACUCGCGGCGCGAGAGAUCGGAAUCGGAGCCAGCCACCCUAUAUAAUCUGCGCUUGGAAAUUACACGAUGAUGUCUUGCCGGAUAAACUCGGCGAAGAUGAUAAUGUUCAACGGCCAUGCAAACGAAUGGAAAUCGAUGUCUUCGAAAAGAUGUAUCGCUCUCUUUCUUUUCUCCGUUCCUCCUUUUUGCUUCUUUCGAGCUUCUUUUGGAGCUUCUUUCGAGCAUCUUUGGCCUCGUCGCCACGCGUUCGCGCUCGUGCUAACGAGUGAUAACAUCGCUAUCGAUUACGAUCCUCGUACGGGGAACGCGUUUAAAAGUAAACGUGGUUGGUUCUGUCUGAUUGCGGGGCCAUACACGGAUUACCAUUUUCCUUCUUAAUGUCUUAACGUAACGGCUUGGAAUUUUGUCGUCGUACGACGACAAAAUUGUCCGCUUGAUCAGCGUCAGACACGCCUGAUCGGCAAUCUCUUAUUCUACUUAGGCGGUACUUGGACAGAUUGGGUCGUUACAUUUUGCUCGGGUAAUUGAGGGUUCGAGAAAGAGGUAGUGGUUGUCGUUUUACUUGUAAAGUGCUAACAUUUUCUGUGAAAUAAUGUAUGCUCUUGUAUGUACGUCUUUAUUUAAGUUCGAGAAAUGUCGGUUUUAGAGGAUCUAUAGGGGAAUUUCUAAGAUUUUUAACUUGUUAUUUAGAGAUUCGGUAUGGAUAAAUCUUAACCCCGCUACCGUUCUUAAAUUUCUAUAUUUCAAUCUUGCCGUUACUUUAACGAAUGAAAGGAGUUUAUAACGUCUUGAAAAGUUAUUUGAUAUAAAAUUAAAGCAAACAGGAACCAUGCGAUAAAACUGUUUUUGUAUUUUGUUCGAACUGCGAAGAUAUUUAUUGACGUUAGAAAAUUAUAAUUGGAUCGAGAGGUGACAGAAGAAACGUAGCAGGGCUAGUGAUAAUAAACGUUGCACUAUUUCAUCUCUACUCUCUUCUAUAAAAGUCUGCGCUAUCACCGCUUUAUUUAAAUGAAAAUAUCAAACACCUAACAUCUAAUCCAUUAAAAAUUCUUUCAGCAUUCAUCCCGAAUUUGCAAACUCAGAAACAAUUAACGAGAACUAAACUUCGUUAUAGCACGUUUUCGCCACGCGACUUUUCUACGAUCAUCCACGAAACAAACACGUCGUGCUCGUCUUGGUAGAUCUGCUUGCGUAAGCCUGACACGAGGAUGCAACCGGUCGAAGAAAACAAACGUGCGUGCACCGAUGCAGCGGAAAAAAGGUUGGCGAUCCCACGGAGCCACGCGAUGCUUCACGCCACGUGCACGUGAUCCCGCGACCUUAAGAGCAAGAGCACUAUUUCCCGCCGCCGGCGCCGCUGCGCCGACAGAUUCUCUUGCUCCUUUCGUGCAUGCCGUUGUGCUACAGGACGUGGCACGACACGAGACCGGAGAUUAAUAUUAUCUCGCGUGAACCGGCGAGAUCGUUUUAGAGUUCCUGCACGUAGAGAGGCUGCCGCUCGACCCUGUCUUGCUUCUUCCAUGCUUUGCCCGCUUCCGUUGCGCUCCGCCAAGUUGGAAGCUGUUCAGAUCGUUAAGUAUCAUCACAGAAUGGAGGGUGGUUUUUCGAGGGAUUCCUUUAAUUUCUCGUUUUGUAGGAUUUUGGUGGUUUGUUUUUACAGGAUGUUAGUGGCUUUAAUAUUAGCUCCCUUUUAUACGAAGGAUAAAGCAGAAAUGAAAUCCUAUGCAAAUUUUUUGUUAUUAUUUUACUACGUGAAAUUUAUGUCAAAUUAUUUUAUUCGAAAGUAUCGCAGAUUUUUUAGAAUGUUAUGGAUAUUGAAAUGUUGCAGCUUAAUGUUAUAUAUACCUAUUGUUCCGAGUAUAAGAAUAACACAAAUUAUAGUCUGCAUUAAUGGUAACAGCGACCACUCAUGAAUCAUAUUUUGUGCCCGUUUAAAGUUUACUCUUUCUUUUCUGUAUUUUAUUGAAACGCCUUAAAUUCCUAUGAAGAAAUAAUUUACAAUAUUUUGUACAUUAUACGUUACAGAAUAAAUUACAAUUAUACAUUAUCAUACAUUAUGCACUUAUAAAAUUUUAAAUCCGGUUGCAAUCUUAAAGAUGGAUGCUUACAUCGAUCUUAUCUUUUCAAUUUACCAGCAAAAUACAAAUUUUUUAAUUCUAAAUUUCUUCAAAUCUAUCACAUCAACCUUGAAAUUUCCAUGAAAGUUACACCACAGAAACAUCUCGUUGGUAUUGCUACAAGGCUCCACAGCGCUCCUAUCAGGCAAACACGAUAUACUCCCGGUAUUAUUCAAAACGGUGCUGUAGCGAGCAGCGUGGCUCUUCGAACGUCAUUAACAUACACCGUUCGCAUAUGCAUAUCGCUACCGUGCUUUGUACACGAGAACACUGUACACGCGUGUCGUAUGAAAGCACAGCGAGUUCGUACGUGGAACAAUAAUGUGUACAAAGAGCGAUACGACUACAGAGUCGACAAAAAGUGCCGCUAAUAUUUCCCGUGUUCGCCUUUGGUGCGUGACGUGCACCCGGCACGGUUUCAGCACGAUUUUCUCGGAACGUUUUCUUCCAGCCACUAUGAAACAAUUUUCGGAUCUUCCUCUCAGCCGUAUAUUGUUCCUUGACAUGGAAAUUUCUUCCCGGAAUUUAGAUGAUGAGACUUGGUUGUUUUAAUGAAUCGAAAGAGGGUGGCUUUGCUGAUCCUUCGUUUUAAUACAAUUUUAGAGGGGACUAGGAUUUGGUACUGACAAGUAUUAAACAAUUUUAGUAAAGUCGUUGGAGCAAGUUUUGCAUGCUGUAUGUUAGAUAUUCGUUCAAACUUUAUAAGCUUUAUAGCUUUAUUCAAAAUAGUGUAUUUAAUAUUAUAUGUUGUACUGCAUGAAAUGCUAUUUAUCAGUGAUAAAAUAAAUACAGAAAUACAGAAAAAAAUACAAAUAUUUUCAUUCAAAAGCAUAGUUUCAGGAGAACUUCGAGUGAAAUCAGAAACCGAUACGUAUCGAAAAUAAUCACCAUGCAAGAUGCGUUGAUCGGUACGAUGCAAAUGCCAGGAUGCAAAAGCAGAGUCUCUUCCUUGACCAGUUCUGAACGAUUCAAAAAUUCGCCACGGGCGAUCGACCAAAAACGUGUGGCCCCCGUUCGAGGAGGAGACUCGAAUCGAGAGGAACAAUGACGAGAGAAUGAAAGAGGAAGAGGAAGAAUAAAAGUAAGAAGCUGGCUAUACGAGCGAUGCACCAGCAUCUGGCGCGUUUAAUGUCUUCGCUGAUGCGCGAAACGCGUUUGGUCGUAUUCUCUAAAGUACCUACAGGGCUCGAUCGCGAGCCCAGAAAGUCGAUAGUGUUCUCCUGUCGCGGACACCGUGUCGUAUCAUCGAUUUCUUUGUCUCCUCCGCAUCUUUCUUUAGCUACUUCUUCCUUUGUUCUUUCCUUUUGCUCGUGAAACGUUUAUAAGCUAAACUGAAUGCUAAAGCGUUAACUCUGAACGCUGUUGUACCUACAAGCUGCAACCAAGAGUCUGGAAAAUGGUUAAAUUAUUAAUAAUUAUUCAGAAUCUAAAUUGCUAAAUCUAAAUUGCAAUAUUUACUCCUGUAAUAGGAAGAAGAGCAGCUUACUCUGUGCUGAAUAAAAUUUGCAAUUAUCAAUUGAAUUUAAUUUAAUAUAAUUCUUAUUUUAGAUGUGUGAAGAUCAAACGAUACUCGGAUGUCUUGGAAGUCACCUUCCCUCACACGAAAUUGUUGAAAACUUUAAACUGACAUUAAAUGAGUUUUAUGCUUCUAGCUUAAUAUUUCCGAUAAUGGAAAAUCGAUUGAUUAUACCUUAUGCGGGAUUCGUAAAUUUACGGAUUCACGGUGGCGAAUUUCAUGACUUCAUGAUCAAUUCAUGACGCAAUUCACUUAGAAUUACUUAGUACGGUUUCUGUAAUGAAAGAGUUAAUAGACUGCGGAUUUUUAUGUAUUCUUAUAUUUUUAUGAACAUAAUUAGGGAAAUGGAACCUACAUAGAAAUUUGUUUUAUCUACUAGAUAUUAUGUUAUAAUAAAUAUUUUUAUAUACAUUAUUCUAUUAUUAUAUUAUAUGCUGUUUCGAAUUUAACUAUGGUGAGUAAAACCCAGCGUUAGGCAAUGCGUUCCGAUCAUUGUCACAAAAAGAAUCACUAUUUCGAAUUUAUCCGUUGAGGGUGAUGAGUUUUAAAUAUAUGGAUUGUGUGCAUUUUUGUAUCUUAAAAUUUCCAAUAAAUGCAUAAAAGUCUGUCUCUUAAUUAUAUAAUUAAAAAGAAUUUUUGAUUUUGAAAAUAUCGUAAGCACAAGGUAAAACACAAUUAAUUUAUUCAGAACUAAGCAGCGAUAUAAGUCGUGAAAAUUGCAUGAAUGCAAAGUUACUGAAAAGUAUGAGAAUGUGUUACUAAAACAAUUAAUCUUUAAAUUUGCCUCAUAAAUAUGACGCCCGGAAUUAAAACAGGAGAACGUUAUUUUUCUAAAGUGUAUCGCUUACUAAGCUACCUUCUUUAACUAUAGAAGCCUCUUAUUUUACUCAGGUCAGGGUUUCACAUAAAUUGAUUCCAUGAUUGUUGUGCAGUCAGCAAAUGUUUUGCUAAGCAUUGGAAAAGGAAAUCUUACGCAUACGUAGAUUUUGCGUAUACCAUUUAAAAAAUCCGAGGGUCGACAUUCAUGAUCAAACACGUGAAUCUACUACGAUGCUUAAGGUGUAUAUGAGAGAUUUCAAGAAAAAAAAAUAGGUGACUGUCACGUCCCGCGCCACGCGCGAUCCGUAGCGCGAAAGUAAAAUUGGUAAUUUCUUUCAAAUCAAGGUAAUUUAAAACGUUUAUUUGAAACCGUGUUUACAGUAUUUGAAGUGAAAGACCAGUUAAAGCCGCUAAAAGCUAUAUCUUGCGAAAACUUAUCUAACUAUGUUUUUAUAUUUACUUAAUUAUGUUUUUAUAACGAUAUUAAGACAAUUUAAAUUGUAAACAAAUUCGGCAGUCGAACAAACGUUGGGGAUCUUCCCAAACAUUUUCAAAAGAAAGACCCCGACGUUUUUUCACCUCCGACAGAUAUAAAUAAAUGUAGCGACUCAGAGAAGUCAGAAUACAAUAAUUACCGUUCGUCUAUCGAAUAUUAGUUAAUUAAUUAACAUUCGUCAACCGAAUAAUUACCAUUGUCUAUCGAAGAAUUUUAUAUCCGUCAGUCUGUCUGUCAAUUGUCAAUAUCGAAAUCGAGUAAAAUUUGAAUAAAUCAUUACAUAUUGUAAAUUUACUGUCGAACAACUUUGAUCCUCUCUCGUGCCAGUAUUCCUACACAUAGCAGGUUAGCCGAAAGUGGAACUUAUUGCCAGUUGCAAUAAACGUCAGUUAACGUUACCUUCUCGUC